GACGAACGCUGGCGGCGUGCCUAAUACAUGCAAGUAGAACGCUGAAGGAGGAGCUUGCUUCUCUGGAUGAGUUGCGAACGGGUGAGUAACGCGUAGGUAACCUGCCUGGUAGCGGGGGAUAACUAUUGGAAACGAUAGCUAAUACCGCAUAAUAGUAGAUGUUGCAUGACAUUUGCUUAAAAGGUGCAAUUGCAUCACUACCAGAUGGACCUGCGUUGUAUUAGCUAGUUGGUGGGGUAACGGCUCACCAAGGCGACGAUACAUAGCCGACCUGAGAGGGUGAUCGGCCACACUGGGACUGAGACACGGCCCAGACUCCUACGGGAGGCAGCAGUAGGGAAUCUUCGGCAAUGGACGGAAGUCUGACCGGGCAACGCCGCGUGAGUGAAGAAGGUUUUCGGAUCGUAAAGCUCUGUUGUAAGAGAAGAACGAGUGUGAGAGUGGAAAGUUCACACUGUGACGGUAGCUUACCAGAAAGGGACGGCUAACUACGUG
rnacentral:rRNA from 1 species